rnacentral:rRNA from 1 species
AACGAACGCUGGCGGCAUGCCUAACACAUGCAAGUCGAACGAGACCUUCGGGUCUAGUGGCGCACGGGUGCGUAACGCGUGGGAACCUGCCCUUAGGUUCGGAAUAACUCCCCGAAAGGGGUGCUAAUACCGGAUAAUGUCUUCGGACCAAAGAUUUAUCGCCUUUGGUUGGGCCCGCGUUGGAUUAGCUUGUUGGUAGGGUAAAAGCCUACCAAGGCGACGAUCCAUAGCUGGUCUGAGAGGAUGAUCAGCCACACUGGGACUGAGACACGGCCCAGACUCCUACGGGAGGGAGCAGUGGGGAAUAUUGGACAAUGGGCGAAAGCCUGAACCAGCAAUGCCGCGUGAGUGAUGAAGGCCUUAGGGUUGUAAAGCUCUUUUAACCGGGAUGAUAAUGACAGUACCGGGAGAAUAAGCUCCGGCUAACUCCGUG